rnacentral:tRNA from 1 species
GCGGAGGUAGCUCAGUGGUAGAGCACUAGACUCAGGAUCUAGCUGUCACACGUUCGAACCGUGUCCUCCGCUCCA